GAUGAACGCUGGCGGCGUGCCUAAUACAUGCAAGUAGAACGCUGAAGCUUGGUGCUUGCACCGAGCGGAUGAGUUGCGAACGGGUGAGUAACGCGUAGGUAACCUGCCUCUUAGCGGGGGAUAACUAUUGGAAACGAUAGCUAAUACCGCAUAAAAGUCGAUAUCGCAUGAUAUUGAUUUGAAAGGUGCAAAUGCAUCACUAAGAGAUGGACCUGCGUUGUAUUAGCUAGUUGGUGAGGUAACGGCUCACCAAGGCGACGAUACAUAGCCGACCUGAGAGGGGGGUCGGGCCACCUGGGGAUGGGACCAGGCCCAGACUCCUACGGGAGGCAGCAGUAGGGAAUCUUCGGCAAUGGGGGCAACCCUGACCGAGCAACGCCGCGUGAGUGAAGAAGGUUUUCGGAUCGUAAAGCUCUGUUGUAAGAGAAGAACGAGUGUGAGAGUGGAAAGUUCACACUGUGACGGUAACUUACCAGAAAGGGACGGCUAACUACGUG
rnacentral:rRNA from 1 species